rnacentral:lncRNA from 1 species
GUGUUGUGAUACCCUGACACCAAGACCCUUCCUUGGUUGUCUGGCACAGUGCUGCCACAUAUCAUCUCAGGAACUUUCAUUUAUUUCCCUUUGUGUCCAAACACCAGAAAGGCUUUCUGAGUUGCUUGCCUUCCCUAGGCUAAACUUCUCCAUUGGAUCAAUAGCAGGUGGUCAACAAAGACAAAAACACCAUCUUCAGAAUGACUCAGAUCAUCCUCUUGGGCAGCCCUUUUUGGAUAUCUCUAUGAAAUUCUGCACAGCUGAAAGCUGACACACAUAAUUAUUUCCUGUUAGAUACUGAAGAAAAAAACAAGCCCAGGAGAUAUUGUCGAGACUGUUUCUGGGGUGGGAUUGGGGGAUAGGAGAUGCCAUCCAGACCCACAGGAAAUGGGCAUUCUUGCUGAAAGUCAUGAAAGCAACUGAUUAUCUGCUAAGUGGAACUCCAGGGAGCAUGUUCAUCCUUACAUCUUACAGAGGAGGUGACUUUGCCAUCCAAUUAGUCCUAUUACCUUCUCACUGGAUCUCACAGGCAUUUAUGGGAAUAAGUCAUUUUUUAAAGGAAGAGAGAAGUGCAUUUAACAUGA